rnacentral:lncRNA from 1 species
UUUUUUUUCGCUUUUUUUUUUCUGCUGUAUGAUUUAUCUGAUGCCUCCCUCUGUGCUCUCCUCUCACCACAUACAAAUCCAAUACUGACAAGCCAGCAGUUUAAAUUAUUCACGCUUCAGUGUACGUGAGCUGCAGCGCAACAAUCAGCCUAGCAAUCAUUCCAUUCAUUGGUCUCUUCUGAACUUAUUGACGUAAAAUUGAAAGAAGAGAAAAACUAAAAUCCUGUGUUGCUAAUGAAAUCUUGAGUCUGAAUAAAAUACUUUCUAUAUAAGUAAACAAAUGAAAAAAUGCUUAUCAGGAAUUAGAAUAAAUUUCUAAAUAAAUAAAUAAACUAAAAAAAAAAUACCUUAAAACAAUUAUUUAGACCUAUUUUGCACAUCUGAUAUGACAGCAACGAGUCACAUGGAAAUAUUCAAGAUCUCCUUUGUUUUCUUAAUAAGUUGUAAGUCCAUCAUAGUAGGAUCAUUUAAUUGACUUCUGUUUUACAUGUUGGAGGUAAAAAUACCAAACAUAGUAGAGGCUGUAAAGGAGGUCAGGAAACAUUUCUCUCUCUUCUACUGAAACAGCUUGACACAAAGAGUGACACUGAAAGCAAGGUUUAUGAGUCAUUAGUGGGUCAAUACAAUAAAUGAGAUAGUUUAUGCUAGUAAAAAGAAGCACAGAAUUUAUGGUUGAAUUUUGUAGAAAACACAAGAAUCAUUAAAAUUCAUUUUCCUCAAAAAUGAAAUCUGCCUGCCUUUUUUCUUGGUUUCUGUAAAUGGAGAUAAACUUCUCCAGCACAUAUAGUAGUACUGGCAGGCCAGAGGAGGACAGCAGAAUAAGCAAAAUUCAUUCAGAAGCAAAAGGCUUGGAAAAAAGACAAUUAAAAGAAAAAGAGGUUGCUCCUUUGGCCCUGAUCCAUGUGAAAUGUCUUUGAUCCAGUGAUCCUCAGCUCAUAAUAAUGGGAAUCACAUAGCUUAUGGUGUGUAGUUAUGCUAGUAUGUAAGCCAAGCUGCAGGCACAGGCUCAAGCAUGGGCUCCCUGCAGUUGUCCACAGUGGUCAAGCACAAGCAGAUAUUCAAGUACUGUUUAGACCAAGCCAAUUAGCAUUUUCUACCCCAUGGAGUCCCAUUGUAAUGUCCCAGAAGGCUUUGCACCCUGAGAUACUCUCAUGUGCCUUCAGACCACACAC